GACGAACGCUGGCGGCGCGCCUAACACAUGCAAGUCGAACGAGCGAGAGAGAGCUUGCUUUCUCAAGCGAGUGGCGAACGGGUGAGUAACGCGUGAGGAACCUGCCUCAAAGAGGGGGACAACAGUUGGAAACGACUGCUAAUACCGCAUAAGCCCACAGGUCGGCAUCGACCAGAGGGAAAAGGAGCAAUCCGCUUUGAGAUGGCCUCGCGUCCGAUUAGCUAGUUGGUGAGGUAAUGGCCCACCAAGGCAACGAUCGGUAGCCGGACUGAGAGGUUGAACGGGCCACAUUGGGACUGAGACACGGCCCAGACUCCUACGGGAGGCAGCAGUGGGAAUAUUGNACAAUGGGGGAAACCCUGAUGCAGCGACGCCGCGUGGAGAGAAGGUCUUCGGGAUUGUAAACUCCUGUUGUUG
rnacentral:rRNA from 1 species